rnacentral:rRNA from 1 species
AACGCUGGCGGCGUGCCUAACACAUGCAAGUCGAACGGAGAUUAACGCUGAUGAAGCUUCGGCAGAUUCUGUUAAAUCUAGUGGCGGACGGGUGAGUAACGCGUGGGCAACCUGCCUCAUACUGGGGGAUAACAGCUGGAAACGACUGUUAAUACCGCAUAAGCGCACAGCAUCGCAUGAUGCAGUGUGAAAAAACUCCGGUGGUAUGAGAUGGGCCCGCGUCAGAUUAGCCAGUUGGCAGGGUAACGGCCUACCAAAGCGACGAUCUGUAGCCGGCCUGAGAGGGCGGACGGCCACAUUGGGACUGAGACACGGCCCAAACUCCUACGGGAGGCAGCAGUGGGGGAUAUUGCACAAUGGAGGAAACUCUGAUGCAGCGACGCCGCGUGAGUGAAGAAGUAUUUCGGUAUGUAAAGCUCUAUCAGCAGGGAAGAAAGACUCGUAAGAGAGAUGACGGUACCUGACUAAGAAGCCCCGGCUAACUACGUGCCAGCCGCAGC